UACGUAGGUGGCAAGCGUUUAUCCGGAUUUACUGGGCGUAAAGAGCGCGCAGGCGGUCGUUCAAGUCGCGUGUGAAAGCCCCCGGCUCAACUGGGGAGGGUCACGCGAUACUGAUCGACUCGAAGGCAGGAGAGGGUAGUGGAAUUCUCGGUGUAGUGGUGAAAUGCGUAGAUAUCGGGAGGAACACCUGUGGCGAAAGCGGCGCACUGGACCAUAACUGACGCUGAGGCGCGAAAGCUAGGGGAGCAAACAGG
rnacentral:rRNA from 1 species